GAUUGGCUAAAAUGAGAUUUCGGGUUUCAAGGGUUUCGAACCAAUCAUAGAAUAGAAUUUAGAAUUUUAAUUAUAUUUGUUAAUUUCCGGAAGUCAAUAUGCCUGUCAUGGCGCAAUGCGAUGUAUGAAAAAAUACUCGUAUAUAUACGUUUACUUUCUGGUUUUUGCUUGUUUUUAAUAGUUAUUAAUUGCUCUGAGUUUUGUAAAGUAGACUCUGCUGUGAUAAUGCGCUUCUUCAAUCAUUCUGGCGACCGACAACAACAGCGAUAUAAUUUGAAACCAUGAUAUUGAAGGACAAGCAAUGGAGGCCACAUGCUUGGCAGUGCUCUGUUGUUGGGGAGCUUUUUGAAAUGUUCUGCCUGACUGCAAGUGUUGUCCACCAUUUUGCUGUGUUUGGCGAUAAGAAGGACUAUAUAGUUUUAAAAGUGAGACAUGAUAAUAUAAUAAGUACCAGAAAUUAGAGUAUUCAAGAAAUUGUUAACCAAGCCACUUACAGGGGCAGGCUCAUUUUCUCUUUCUGGUUCAUUGGUGCUACCACACAAGAACUAUGCAAGACAUGGUUCAUGUCCAUCUCAUUUGGAUGUAAUAUGGUAUAUAUGGACAGGAG